AUGUUGCAGAAGUUGUGGUGUUUUCCUUUUCGUGGUAGUUUUGCCUGUCCCUGUCGUGUUUUUUUAGAUGAACACGGAGCAGAUCGUCGUGUUUGUCAAAGUGGUUGCUGGAGUUUAUUGCACAGAUGCUAUAAAAAUGUUGCACCCCGAACUUCUGGGUAUUCGACUCAGAUGGGAAAUAUCGACCCAACUAAGCAGUGGCCGCAUUUUUUCUCACGAACAGCCCUGGAGAGGUGUAGUUGCACAAGUCAGAACUCCAAUCAGAUACCACGACAGAGAGGAAAGCGAGGCACAUCUUCUCGAAUCUCCAAUGCUUUAGCUUGA
rnacentral:rRNA from 1 species